rnacentral:rRNA from 1 species
GACGAACGCUGGCGGCGUGCUUAACACGUGCAAGUCGAACGGGAGUAUUGAAGAAGCUUGCUUUAGAGAUACUUUAGUGGCGGACGGGUGAGUAACGCGUGAGGAGCUGUCCUAUGCAGGGGGACAACAGCUGGAAACGGCUGCUAAUACCCCAUAAGCCGAGAGGUAAAAGGAUCAAUCCGGCAGAGGAGGUACUCGCGUCCUAUCAGCUAGUAGGUGAGGUAACGGCUCACCUAGGCGAAGACGGGUAGCCGGCCUGAGAGGGCGAACGGCCACACUGGUACUGAGACACGGACCAGACUCCUACGGGAGGCAGCAGUGGGGAAUCUUCCACAAUGGGCGAAAGCCUGAUGGAGCGACGCCGCGUGAGCGAAGAAGGCCUUCGGGUUGUAAAGCUCUGUCUGGAGGGACGAAGGAAGUGACGGUACCUCCGGAGGAAGCCACGGCUAACUACGUG